UAAUCCGCCACUCUACACAUAUACUACUACAACGCAAGCUAUACAGACUGACUUCAACCUUCGGCUUGUCAACAACUACAUACUUCAACUCAAUUUCACCGUUUUAACAGGACAUCUACCACUCGCCACAACUAAAUCAGCAUCAUGCCUCUUAGCAAAGAACAGGCGGACGCCUAUACCAAGUUUUUUAAAGCCACCGACACUGAUAAUAAUGGCUAUUUAACUAUUCACGAGUUGAGAGAUGUCCUACAGGUUAAACUAAAGAUGAAAAUCAGUAACGAGGAGGUUAUUGAAAUGUUCAAGGGCGUUGAUCAAAAUAACGACGAUAAAAUAACGCUAGAUGAAUUUUUAAAUGAAAUGGGGAAAAUGAACCCUAAAGAUUUACAGAGAGCAGAUCUGGAAAGAGCUUUCGACAUGAUCGAUCAAGACAAG